CACUUCACCAUGAAUUUAAUAAUUGGACUGUUCAAUGAUAUGCAAUUUGCUUAUUUCACUGGCUGUUAUUUCUUCUUGCAAUUAUCUUCUCUUUCUAAUGUGCCACCUAUCAUGUCUUGAAACUAUUAAUUACUCAAACUUAUAAUUACAAUAAACCCUCUUUUAAAGUGACACUGCAUAGUAAGAGUUGGUGUUGAUACAAUAGAGAAAGUGCAUCUAAAAUUGCAUGCCUGGUAAAAGCCUAAGCAUAAAAGCUGCCCACGCUGUCUACAGCUUCUUGAUGAGAGCAUCGUUUACCUUUGUUUGUCAAAUUAUUUUGGAUGCUUUCUUUGGUUUUACCCCUCAGUAGGUGUACAGGAAGUUGUGGCUCUGGGAAGAACUGGGAGAUGGAUAGGUUUUGAAGAUAUGUAUGAAUAAGACAAAGGAACUGUUAGAAGAGGAUAACAAAGAAUCAAACUGCAGAAGAAAUGUUGGAGGAGCUCAUUUUCCAGUAAGGAGAAAUAGAGAGAGAGAGAGAGAGAGAGAGAGAGAGCGAGCGAGCGAGCGAGCGAGCACAAGAGAUUAUAAGAAAAGAAUGAGGUAAAAGAACCUGUAGAUAACAGGCAACACUGCAACAGUCACAUAAACAAUUUCAUGAUGAUUAAUCAAGACACGUGCAACAGUUGGGUAUCUUUAUUGUUGAAAUGUUUUGCUUACACAGUAAGCUUCAUCAGUUGAGUACAGAAGCAGCAGGUGAAGUAGUGAAAUGAGGAUGAUGUAAUCAGUCCAUCAAGCUUGGAGAAAUAGCAUUUGAUGUCAGUCCCUCAGCCUGGAAAAGAGUUCAUUUCCAUGGUCUUGAAUGAUAUGAAGCUUAAACAUUCUCAUGCUUCAGCUUCAUAUUCCAGAUCAUGGAGCAAGAUUCUUCUAGAAGGUUGAUUGACUGAUUACAUCUUCAUUUCACAUCAACCUGUCAGUAUUUUAUACAAUUUCAACAAAACAGUUCCAUGUUAUUGGUAAAGUUACUUUAUUUUUUUUUUUUUUUACUUCUAGAAGAACUGUUCUGCAGUAGUCUACAGCAGUUGAUCAUGCCUUAUCAAUUGUAUAAAGUAUUGCCAGGGAAAACAAGCCAGAGAUGCAUUACAGAAUACAUGAACACUUCAAAAUAACCAUUAAUUACUGACAACUCUGCAUGUAUAUCAACAAGAACCAUAGCCAUCUUAACACAUCAACCCUCUCCACACUUUCAUGUUAAGAAGCAGUAAUAACUAGAAUAUAAGGUAAGAUAAACUGUAGUACAGUAAUUUAUACAACUGUAGUAGAAUAUUUAAAAAGUUUGUCAAAUUUGGAGGUUUCUGGAAAAUAACCCUAUUUUUCCCAUAUGUUCUUUACAUACUGCUAAUUUGAUAGGUACGUAUAAGGAAACAUGCACAACUAAUGUAGCAUAUUACUGUGGCAAUGUUUUGCUCUCCAGGAACUUUGUCAAGCUGCUUGACAAAGCAAAAUGUUGCCACAAUAGAAUGCUGGUUGCAUGUGUCUUUUCACCUAUCAUUGUUGGUAAUUUUUACCCUUGUUACCCCUUACUGGUCAUUUCCCUAAAGUGCCAAUUUUCUGUAAUGCAUCUCCCAGUAUUAUGAGAGGGUUUAUUGUACUAACCAUUUGAUUUAUAUCUAUUUGCUACACAAGGUAAUAAAAUAUAUAUAAUGUGUUUAUAGUAUAUAUAUAUUGUGCUUUUUAGCCAGAAUGUGCAGACUUGGCUUAUUAUGUAAGAUUUGUUUUGCCAAACUGCGUUAAUUUUUUGUUACAGUAAAUGCAAAAAAAUCGAUAUGAGCAUCACAAAAUUAAUAUACUGUAUUUUGUUUUUGUUAAAUUUAGGCCAAGCUAAGAUAGGUUUGUUAGGAUUAGCUUAAAUUAUAUUAUGUAUAUUAAUUUCAGUAAGAUUAGGUGAGGUUGCUAAUCAGUUUUAACAAAACCUAAAACAAAAAUUUAUACUGUUAAUUUACAGAAAUAUAUAUACACAGUAUUGUACACUGUAUAAAUAAAGGCAUAGCAUAAUUUCUUUUUAAGAGUAUAUUUAGAGCAGUUUGGCUUGUUUGACUAAACAAUAUGACUUACUGUACAUAUGUGCAUACUUAUGUGUAUACAUCUUUAAAUAAUGUAUCAUUCAAAUAAAAUCUUUGCUUGUA